rnacentral:rRNA from 1 species
GACGAACCGAGCGAACGUUGUUCGGAAUCACUGGGCUUAAAGGGCGCGUAGGCGGGUGUGAAAGUCUGCGGUGAAAUCCUCCAGCUUAACUGGAGAAGUGCCGUGGAUACUGCUCAUCUUGAGGAGGGUAGGGGCAUCUGGAACGGUCGGUGGAGCGGUGAAAUGCGUUGAUAUCGACCGGAACUCCGGUGGCGAAGGCGAGGUGCUGGACCCUUUCUGACGCUGAGGCGCGAAAGCCAGGGGAGC